rnacentral:lncRNA from 1 species
AAAUGUGGUAGUGGCCUGAGGCCUUGGGGCUGAAAGAGCCCGGGGUCUGAAAUCAUCAGAAUUGUCUCCAGAUGAAUUGAAACUGAGAUGGAAAGCAGCAUAUGACUCAUCGUGGGUCCAGGAUAGGCCAUAUCACUUCCUGGAAAGUUCUGUCCAUUCCCAUGCUCCCAUGGACAACUGAGAGUGAGGACAUAAGGUGAUUGGGAUAAGAUCUUGAUAUUGUAGGAAAAAUGGUGAAUGACUUUGAAAUGGACCGAAAAGAUGACUGGGUGUCUUCAUCAGAAAACUAGGUGUUUCUAUGGGG